GCGAGGGUAGCCAAGUGGUCAACGGCGGUGGACUCAAGAUCCACUCGCGCAGGCGUUCGCGGGUUCGACUCCCUCCCCUCGCA
rnacentral:tRNA from 1 species